rnacentral:rRNA from 1 species
GACGAACGCUGGCGGCGUGCUUAACACAUGCAAGUCGAACGGAAAGGCCCUGCUUUUGUGGGGUGCUUGUGUGGCGAACGGGUGAGUAAAACGUGAGUAACCUGCCCUUGACUUUGGGAUAACUUUAGGAAACUGGGGAUAAUAUCGGAUAGGAGCUUCUGAUGCAUGGUGGGGGUUGGUAAGUUUCGGCGGUUGGGGAUGGACUCGAGGCUUAUGAGCUUGUUGGUGAGGUUGUGGCUUACCAAGGUUGUGACGGGUAGCCGGCCUGGGAGGGGGACCGGCCACAUUGGUACUGAGGGACGGCCCAGACGCCUACGGGAGGCAGCAGUGGGGAAUAUGGCACAGUGGCCGGAAGCCUGAUACAGCAACGCCGCGAGCGGGAUAACGGCCUUCGAGGGGUAAACCGCUUUCGCCUGUGACGAAGCGUGAGUGACGGUAAUUGAUAAAAAAGCACCGGCUAACUACGUG